UAUGUGUGUGUUAAAAUUGAUGAAACAAAAUUGAUGUUUGAAGUGAUGUAUAAAAGGAGUUCUAAUUGCUGAGCUGAUUCUUGGUGAAUGAAUAGUUAGAUUCAGCAAGACCUCCCUCUGAGUGCAGGCUUGGUUCUCCUAGUUGUUUUGCUCAUGUGCUUUGGAUGGAUACGUCUACAGGAACAUUCAGAGGAGCUAGCUCACAGCGCCGUCUAACGUCCGUAGAUGGGAGGCUAAGAGCCGACUUCGGAACAAAGCUAUGUAAAAGACUUAGGGGUCGCGGAGCCAAAGAGACCUCACUGGAGCACACAGUUGACGCAGCUUGGAUCUGUAUUGGAAGCACCAUUGGACACUCCUCAGACAUCACAACCGGAC